rnacentral:rRNA from 1 species
GACGAACGCUGGCGGCGUGCUUAACACAUGCAAGUCGAACGCUGAAGGCCCAGCUUGCUGGGUUGGAUGAGUGGCGAACGGGUGAGUAACACGUGAGUAACCUGCCCCCUUCUUUGGGAUAACGGUCGGAAACGGCUGCUAAUACCGGGUAUUCACUGUCCUUCGCAUGGGGGGUGGUGGAAAGGUUUUUUCUGGUGGGGGAUGGGCUCGCGGCCUAUCAGCUUGUUGGUGGGGUGAUGGCUUACCAAGGCUUUGACGGGUAACCGGCCUGAGAGGGUGACCGGUCACAUUGGGACUGAGAUACGGCCCAGACUCCUACGGGAGGCAGCAGUGGGGAAUAUUGCACAAUGGGCGAAAGCCUGAUGCAGCGACGCCGCGUGAGGGAUGACGGCCUUCGGGUUGUAAACCUCUUUCGCUCAUGGUCAAGCCGCAACAGUGGUUGUGGUGAGGGUAGUGGGUAAAGAAGCAUCGGUCAACUACGUGCCAUCAGCCGCGGUUUACUUAUGGUGCGCGCGUUUUCCUUUUUUUUUUUUUGUUAUGGGCUUGUUUC